GGGGAUGAAUGCAGCCUCUCGCGCGGUGGAGCCAGUCCGGCAGUGAAGGACACGGGAGAGGAUCCACUUCUCAGGGGGGGAGGAACGCAGCAACACGCGAGUAACGGGCCGGAAAAGUGCUCCCUCCUCCGCGUGCGCGUCCCCGUUGGAGUGGAUCAACGGGACAGAGGAAGGAAGAGGAGCUGGAGGAGGAGAAGGAGGUGUUGCAGCUCCUUCUUGCCCGAGGAGGCGCACGGCCGGCGGUGUCGCUGCGACGCGCGGCGCCCGGCGGGGGGAGCGUGCACGAGUGCAGUGGGCGCGUGCGCGUGUCCUCUCUCAGGUGGAUUUGGAGUAAACGUGGGGUCUUGAUCGCGAGGAGUUUUGUCUCUGAAUCUGUCCUCUGUCCUCUGUCCUAUGUCCUCUGUCCUCGCUCCUGCUGCCGCUCAGACACGAAGGACAGAAGCAGAUCUCGUCGAAUUCUCCUCAAAGUGGGGUGCGUCGUUUCCCACAAUGUUACAGGUGUGAGCACGCCAGGUGACCCCACUGACAACCUCCCCCCAUCCUCCCACCCACUUAUCCCUGCCGACCCUUGGGCAAUCUGCAACCAAUCAUCUUCCUCAGCGGUGCCAUGGCAACCGCCUCCGUUCAAAGACUCAGCGGUCCGCAGCUGCUGCACUGAGGAAACCGAAAAGGGGGAACAGGAGAGGAAAGAAAUGCAUCCUGGGUGUUUUUAAUGGACUUGGUUUUUGAGCCACGGAAGAGCGGGUUUGUUUGACUUUGAAAGGAUUGCUUCCUUUCCCGGAUACAAAACUGAAGCCUUGACACAGUGGAUGCAAUGUGACCUGUAAAAUGUCGGCUCGCAGGAGGUGACAUGUGGCUCGCUCUGCCAUGUAGCCGCAUCGACCCGCAGGAACCUUCCAGGAACUUUACUUCCUCCCAACGCAGCCAAAAGCCUCCACGUUGUCCCCAUCGAGGCCGAGAUGAAAGAGGAAAAGGGGCCGAUAAAUUAAGAGAGGAACGGCAAGGGAGCCGAGACUUUUAUUUCCCGGGCCCCAACGCCUUGAGGCCCCCGUCCUCUUUUUUAAGCUCAUCUGUGGAUACUCUGCACCUGCGUCCCUGCGUCCGUCCUUCCUCCAACCACCUCAGCCCCCGCGGACAUUAAAGCUGCACCCGUCUUCAGAGGG